UACGUAGGGCGCAAGCGUUGUCCGGAAUUAUUGGGCGUAAAGAGCUUGUAGGCGGUUUGUCGCGUCUGCUGUGAAAAUCCGGGGCUCAACCCCGGACUUGCAGUGGGUACGGGCAGACUGGAGUGUGGUAGGGGAGACUGGAAUUCCUGGUGUAGCGGUGGAAUGCGCAGAUAUCAGGAGGACACCGAUGGCGAAGGCAGGUCUCUGGGCCACUACUGACGCUGAGAAGCGAAAGCAUGGGGAGCGAACAGG
rnacentral:rRNA from 1 species